rnacentral:misc_RNA from 1 species
GAUGAAGAACGCAGCGAAAUGCGAUAAGUAAUGCGAAUUGCAGAAUUCAGUGUGUCAUCGAAUCUUUGAACGCACAUUGCGCCCUGUGGUAUUCCGCAGGGCAUGCCUGUUCGAGCGUCAUUUCAACCCUCAAGCUCUGCUUGGUGUUGGGCCCUGCCCGCUGCGGCCGGCCCUAAAGACAGUGGCGGUGCCGCCUGGCCCUGAGCGUAGUACAUCUCUCGCUCCAGUGCCCGGUGGUAGCCUGCCAGAACCCCAACUCUCGUGGUUGACCUCGGAUCAGGUAGGGAUACCCGCUGAACUUAAGCAUAUCAAUAAGCGGAGGA